rnacentral:tRNA from 1 species
GGGUAUAGCUCAGUGGUAGAGCACUUGCCUGACACGCAACAGGCCCUGGGUUCCAUCCUUAGCACUGCA